rnacentral:lncRNA from 1 species
GGCCAACCACAAGCGGUGAUCAUGACGUCAGGGCCUCUGAAGAGAGAAGGGAUGUUGGCCUCCACCGUGUCCCAGUCCAACGUGGUCAUUGCGCCUGCUGCCAUCGCCAGGCAGUCAGGGGUGACCUGUCUCCCAUGUCACUGCAGGCUCCUGGGGUCCCGGAGUUCCACAGCAGCAUCCUGGUGACAGAUCUCGGCCAUGGCACGAGC